CAGUAGCCGCGGUAAUACGAAGGGGGCUAGCGUUGUUCGGAUUUACUGGGCGUAAAGCGCACGUAGGCGGACUUUUAAGUCAGGGGUGAAAUCCCGGGGCUCAACCCCGGAACUGCCUUUGAUACUGGAGGUCUUGAGUAUGGUAGAGGUGAGUGGAAUUCCGAGUGUAGAGGUGAAAUUCGUAGAUAUUCGGAGGAACACCAGUGGCGAAGGCGGCUCACUGGACCAUUACUGACGCUGAGGUGCGAAAGCGUGGGGAGCAAACAGGAUUAGAUACCCCUGUAGUCCCUGUCUCUUAUAC
rnacentral:rRNA from 1 species